CGGGAUGUAGCUCAGUUGGUAGAGUACUGGUCUGGGGGACCAGGGGUCGCUGGUUCAAGUCCAGUCAUCCCGA
rnacentral:tRNA from 1 species